rnacentral:tRNA from 4 species
UGAGUAUUCGCCAAAUUGGUAAGGCAGAGGACUCUGAAUCCUUAAUUUACUGGUUCGAAUCCAGUAUACUCAA